UUAAUCUUAGCUGCCAAAGUUGCAGGGAGGAAACCAGUUCUUACAGAGAAAGACCAGGCUUACUCAGCCUCUAGGCACAGCAGGUUCAAAAGCUUGGCAACUGUUUGUUUGGUUUUGUUUUGUUGUGUUGUUUUUCUUUUUUUUUUCAGGUGUGGCACUUCCCACAUCACAAAGCUCCUCCAGGUGGGUCAGGUGAAGGCAGUGUAAAUGGGAGGCACUAAACCAGCUGCUUGUGGUCCCUCAGUUCGUGCACCUCACGGGGUGGCCCUGCAGCCCUGUCAGCCUCCCCAGGCAGCUGCCAUGCUUUCCUCCAGGCGCUGGGCCACGUCUGGGGAGCUUGAGCACUGGUGCCCGAGGUCCUGCCAGAGGGGUUAUGGUGGUGGCUGCUGUAAAGCCGUUGUGUGAUGCUGCCCUAGGCAGCACAGGGAGCAGCCUGCUCCUGGCCUCUGAUCAGUCUGGCAGCAUCUCUUUCUUUAUAGGAAAUGCUGCUUCUCACCUGGUGUUGCCAUGGCAAUGGGGAAACAGGCCCUGUUUUGGGCUCUUGGCAACUGUAUCUGAAGGGAGUGGCCAGUGCAUAGGUACAUAAAUCAGCCAUGCUCCACACACUUGCACUGUUAUUGCAUUAUACAUGAGUAAACAUUUACGUGUGUGUGUAUAUAUAAAGAGUAUGUGUGCAUGUGUACAUACUCUUUCUUGCUAGAAGGCCCUCACAAAACUUGACUGAAAAAGAAACUUUAACAAAGGAUAUGAACCAGGGAUUAAGGAAGGCAGAAAGAAAGGGGAAACCAUAGUUGUUGCUAAAACAAAAAAAACCAGCUUCAUAUUCACUGUUCCAUUUGAGGCAGUGCUGACUCCAUCCUGGGCCACCAGCUGCACAAGGAGCAUAGGAAGAGUUGGGUGCCAGAAGAGCAGCACUGGAGGUUCAUUGUGCUACAUGCUCAUCUUGCUAGCAAUGGACACUGCAGCUGUAUAUGCAGAGUGAGCCCUUAUUUACCUGGAAGGUGCAGUAAGGAAGACCUUGGGGCUCCUUCCAGUAGAGGCAGAGAUAGGUACCAAGCAAGAGCCAAGGUCUGGGCAGAGCUGAGUUGGGAUCUGAGGGAUCUGCCAAGCUAGUAAAGAAACCACAGAAGCAAGGAUGGGAGAGUGAAUAUGGAAUACUCUGCUGCAUGCACAGGUGAUGAUGUUGAAAUAGGAGAUUUUUCAUGUUUGAGCUGCAUCUUCAAAUCCAGCAGGCUGCCGACUUUGCCUACUUGCAGAAAGAAAUACUGAACUUUUUCUGAGUAUUAAUUAUUCACCACUGCAGAGUGAUUUAAAACAUGGGAGAAUUCUCUUAACAGCAAUCCCUAAUAAAUGUGUAU